GGGCUGGUAGCUCAGUGGUAGAGCAUCCGACUUUUAAUCGGGUGGUCGCGGGUUCGAAUCCCGCCCGGCCCA
rnacentral:tRNA from 1 species